rnacentral:rRNA from 1 species
UACAGGGGGUGCAAACGUUGCUCGGAAUUAUUGGGCGUAAAGCGCACGUAGGCGGUUCGUUAUGUCAGAUGUGAAAGCCCUUGGCUCAACUGAGGAAGUGCAUCUGAAACUGGCGAGCUAGAGUAUGUAAGAGGGUCGCGGAAUUCCCGGUGUAGAGGUGAAAUUCGUAGAUAUUGGGAAGAACACCGGUGGCGAAGGCGGCUAUCUGGACCGACAUUGACGCUGAUGCGCGAAAGCGUGGGGAGCAAACAGG